rnacentral:lncRNA from 1 species
CCUCAAAGGACCAUUCUGAAGAACAAGUAAAAAAAGUCUAUGUUUAAGGUAUGAUGAAAACCAUCAUCAGUCAGUAGAAGGUGAGAAUGAGAGCAGGUUGACCUUCAGACCUGUGGAUCAAGAAGAAACAUGAGAUGACCACAGAAAAUACGGUUGCUGAUCCCUGCCUUCAAGGAAUGCUGGCCAGUUUUCUGGAGACUCCCAGCCUCUCAGCUGAGACCACAGGUAGUUGGUCAGACUCUAUACUGCAGGAGGUACCCUGUGCACAUGACAAAAUACAAGAUCAGAUAGAUA